GUUUAACACAUGCAGGCAGGACGCUGUCUCCUCAGGGCUGAAGGGUUCCGGGUAGGACUGAAACCUGAGCCGCUCUGCUUACACAAUGAGCGAACGUUUGAUGUUCGGCCUUUUAAUUUUCACUCUAUAUCCAGGUGCUGUGCUGGGUGACUCGGUCCAGCCCAGGGAACCCCGGAUGUCUGGAGCUGAAGGCGGCUCCGUGACCCUCAGCUGUUCUUAUGAAACCAGCUACACUGCUGGUGUCUAUCUCUACUGGUACCGUCAGUACCCGAACCGAGCCCCGCAGUACAUCCUGCGGAGAGGAACGAAGGAAGCCAGAUCUGGCAGUGAUACCUCAGACUUCGCCCAGCAGAGGUUUUCUUCCCAGGCUGAUGGCAACUCCACUGCUCUGAACAUCACAGCGCUGGAGCUGGCGGACACCGCGGUGUAUCUCUGCGCCCUGCAGCGGGCACAGUGACAGAGCCACGGAGCAGAGCUGCACAAAAACCCUCCCCUUCCCUUCGCCUUCAGGGGCUCGGCAUGGACAAGGGACCAGAGAGAGCGUCCCCGUGACCCAGCAUUCGCCCCCAGUGAGGGAUGCAGCGCUGGGCCACAGCUCAGACAGCUCGGUGCUGUCCUCCCUGUCAACAUCUCGGCGAUACAUUACAUAUCUAUCCAUAAAUACAUGUCAAUGCAUCGAUGCCUUCCUGCCUUCCGCACGGCUCUUAAAUCCCAGCCCAAAUGUCUAAACGCAGCGGGGUCUGUGUCUUGUCAGUGUCUGGGCAGCAACCAGGACAAUGGGGCCCCGAUAUCAGCUGAGGCUAGAUGUACCCACAGUGCUCCUCCUCCUCCUCAUGCCCCGCACUCAUCGCAGAACUUGGGCGUUUUAUACAAUUACUUAAUGACAAAAGACUCGGAGAUCCAAAAAGUCAA